CAGUCGCCGCGGUAAUACGUAGGUCCCGAGCGUUGUCCGGAUUUAUUGGGCGUAAAGCGAGCGCAGGCGGUUAGAUAAGUCUGAAGUUAAAGGCUGUGGCUUAACCAUAGUACGCUUUGGAAACUGUUUAACUUGAGUGCAAGGGGGGAGAGUGGAAUUCCAUGUGUAGCGGUGAAAUGCGUAGAUAUAUGGAGGAACACCGGUGGCGAAAGCGGCUCUCUGGCUUGUAACUGACGCCGAGGCUCGAAAGCGUGGGGAGCAAACAGGAUUAGAUACCCGAGUAGUCCCUGUCUCUUAUACA
rnacentral:rRNA from 1 species